CCUAAUUUCAAAUGUUUGCUAAACUUGAUUUUGUAGGGAUCCGGGGUCAUGGGCCACAACAUGCCACCACCGGUCAUACCAGCACCAGGAGGAGCUUAUGUAGGGGAGAGAGCUAGUCCAGGAGAGAAUCCAAACUCGUUACACGACUUCGUCAAUGAGUUUUUCGCUUCUGGAGGUAGUGGACACAACUCCAACGACCCCGAUAUGUGAUGGAGUUAGCUUUGUGCCGCAUUGUACGUUGUAAUGACUAUUUGUGGACUUUAUGUUUCUAUGGACUCAAGUAUGAAUUUUCUGUUAUUAUAUGAAUUUUGUAUGAA